UUUUUAGUAUAAGUAUGCCCCCAUGUAAUUUUGGGGACAUACUUAUACUAAAA
rnacentral:pre_miRNA from 1 species